rnacentral:rRNA from 1 species
CAGCAGCCGCGGGAAUACGGAUGGGGCUAGCGUUGUUCGGAAUUACUGGGCGUAAAGCGUGCGUAGGCGGUGAGUUAAGUCUGCUGUGAAAUCCCCGGGCUCAACCUGGGAAUGGCAGUGGAUACUGGCUCGCUAGAGUGUGUCAGAGGAUGGUGGAAUUCCCGGUGUAGCGGUGAAAUGCGUAGAGAUCGGGAGGAACAUCAGUGGCGAAGGCGGCCAUCUGGGACAACACUGACGCUGAGGCACGAAAGCGUGGGGAGCAAACAGGAUUAGAUACCCGGGUAGUCCCUGUCUCUUAUAC